rnacentral:siRNA from 1 species
UCUAGGUGUGCCAUUUUCUUU